rnacentral:misc_RNA from 1 species
UUUCCGUAGGUGAACCUGCGGAAGGAUCAUUACCGAGUUAGGGUCUCCUCCGUGCGGCCCGACCUCCCAACCCCGUGUCUAAUAAACCUGUUUGUGUUGCUUCGGCGGAACGGCAGUCGUCCCUUCGGGGUCUACCGUCGCCGGGGGGCUUUCACGGUCUCACGACCGUGCCCCUGGAGAGCGUCCGCCGAUGGCCCAAUCAAAACUACUGAACCCAAACCAUGAACUAAAUAUUUUCUGAAUCAGACUUUUGAUAUACCAAUCAAAAACAAAACUUUCAACAACGGAUCUCUUGGUUCUG